UGGGGAAUAUUGCACAAUGGCGGGAACUCUUAUGCCUCGCCGCCGCGUGAACGAAGAAGGCUUUCGAGUCGUAAAGUUCUUUUAUAUGGGAAGAUAAUGACGGUACCAUAAGAAAAAGCCCCGGCUAACUACGUGCCAGCAGCCGUGGUAAUACGUAGGGGGCUAGCGUUGUCCGGAAUCACUGGGCGUAAAGGGUUCGCAGGCGGAAAUGCAAGUCAGGUGUAAAAGGCAGUAGCUUAACUACUGUAAGCAUUUGAAACUGCAUAUCUUGAGAAGAGUAGAGGUAAGUGGAAUUUUUAGUGUAGCGGUGAAAUGCGUAGAUAUUAAAAAGAAUACCGGUGGCGAAGGCGGCUUACUGGGCUCAUUCUGACGCUGAGGAACGAAAGCGUGGGUAGCAAACAGG
rnacentral:rRNA from 1 species